rnacentral:rRNA from 1 species
UACGUAGGCAGCGAGCGUUGUUCGGAGUUACUGGGCGUAAAGGGUGUGUAGGCGGUUAUUUAAGUUUGGUGUGAAAUCUCCCGGCUCAACCGGGAGGGUGCGCCGAAUACUGAAUGACUAGAGUGCGGGAGAGGUGAGUGGAAUUCCUGGUGUAGCGGUGAAAUGCGUAGAUAUCAGGAGGAACACCGGUGGUGUAGACGGCUCACUGGACCGUAACUGACGCUGAGACACGAAAGCGUGGGUAGCAGACAGG